rnacentral:SRP_RNA from 1 species
GCUGGGCAUAGUGGCACAUGCCUGGAGUCCCUGCUGCUGAGAAGGCUGAGACUGGGAGAUUGCUUGAAUUCAGGAAUUCUGAGCUGAAAUAGGGGGAAAGUCUAUCUGAUGUCCACACUAAGACUGGCACCAAUAUUGUGAAGUCUUGGGACUAGUAGGUCACAUGAAUGCCUAAAGAGGGAUAAAUUAACACAGGCUGGAAAGUCAGAGCAGGUUAAAGCUUUUAUGCUGAACAGUAUUGGGAUCAGGCUUCUGAAAUGUACCCCCCUCUGAUAAAAUCCAAUUGUUUUCAUUAUAUU